AUUUGUUUGUCAGAACAAGACAAGUCAGAUUCAAUGUGCUUUCUGUCACGUGCUCUGUAUUCUCCAUCAAAAGAAUGUUAUCCAGGGCAGAUAAUCUAUAAUGAGUUAAAUACAUGCUUUUAAUUAAUUUUUACAUAAAAUCUAUAUUUUUGUCUAAAAGCUAUUUUUUAUUUAUUUAUUCUUUCUUUUUAGAUUGAAAACUACUGCAUUGCAUUAAAAUGGAAGUGCUACACAGCCACAUGCAUCAACUGCAGCUGUUGACAAGCAUAUGGACCUAUUGUUCGAGUCUGUGGUGGUGGAUGCUCUAUCAUAUCAGGAGUCUGUGGUGGUGGAUGCUCUAUCAUAUCAGGAGUCCGUGGUGGUGGAUGCUCUAUCAUAUCAGGAGUCUGACUAAGUACCUGUGCCUGAACCUCUCUGUGUCUAGUUCAAAAGACCUGAAAGACCUGCUGUAAGCAGGCAUAGGUUAAGAUUUUAAAAGAACCUGUAAGGUGAGCAACACAACACAAUAUAAAUCUUUAUUAUUAUUGUACGCUGUACAGUUAGAAUAAACUUGCAUGCUCAGAAGCCACGUAUGAUUACAUCGCCUACAGGUUGCCUGAUGCUGAACUUCGGGCAGCUGCGUGCUCCGUGGAACAACCGCCUGUGGGAGGAGUCGUUGUGUUGCUGUUAGGAGUUUGGGUCGGAGUCCUGGAUCUAUGGAAAUUCUUUCCUUGAAGCUCCUGAUCACACAACCAUACUGGCAGUCGGCUUACCCACAACCUUCUGCUCACCCGCUUGCAACUCAUGCUGUCAUUCUCCCAGACUUCUGGUUGUUUCUCCACCAUUCUGCUGUCUCCCGUCUGCGCUACAACUUCAGACCGGCCUUCUGAUCUUUAAACACUAAAACCUGUGGCUCCAUCUCUGUGGCGUUUCUCAGUCUCUGUAAGCUACCUGCACAGUCUAAGAAAAACCUGACCUGUUGCCUCUUACUAACCUCUGCUCUUCCUCGCAGAAGCUUCUGGUUCCUGAUCUCCAGCUGUUACCUCUUCAGUCAUCCGUCAAACAUUUUAAUAAACUGUUUUUAGCUCAA